rnacentral:rRNA from 1 species
CAAGUCGCACGAGAAAGUGGAGCAAUCCAUGAGUACAGUGGCGGUACGGGUGAGUAACACGNUGGAUCAUCUACCUUCUAGUGGGGAAUACCUCCGGGAAACUGGAGACAAUACCGCAUAAGCUCGUAAGAGGAAAGCAGCAAUGCGCUGGAAGAGGAGUCCGCGGCUGAUUAGCUAGUUGGCGGGGUAAUGGCCCACCAAGGCGAAGAUCGGUAGCCGGCCUGAGAGGGCACACGGCCACACUGGCACUGAAACACGGGCCAGACUCCUACGGGAGGCAGCAGUGGGGAAUCUUGCACAAUGGAGGAAACUCUGAUGCAGCGACGCCGCGUGAGCGAUGAAGCCCUUCGGGGUGUAAAGCUCUUUCGACGGGAACGAUAAUGACGGUACCCGAAGAAGAAGCUGCGGCUAACUACGUGCCAGCAGCCGCGGUAAUACGUAGGCAGCAAGCGUUGUUCGGAAUUACUGGGCGUAAAGAGUGUGUAGGCGGUGUUCUAAGUCUGUUGUGAAAUCUCCCGGCUUAACUGGGAGGGUGCGGCGGAAACUGGAAUGCUAGAGGAUGGGGGAGGUAAGCGGAAUUCCUGGUGUAGCGGUGAAAUGCGUAGAUAUCAGGAGGAACACCUGUGGUGUAGACAGCUUACUGGACCAUUUCUGACGCUGA